rnacentral:piRNA from 1 species
UGUGGUCUUAGACCUGUAGAGUUAUUG